UGAUCCUGGCUCAGGAUGAACGCUAGCUACAGGCUUAACACAUGCAAGUCGAGGGGCAGCGGGAUUGAAGCUUGCUUCAAUUGCCGGCGACCGGCGCACGGGUGAGUAACGCGUAUCCAACCUUCCGUACACUCAGGGAUAGCCUUUCGAAAGAAAGAUUAAUACCUGAUGGUAUGAUGAGAUUGCAUGAUAGCAUCAUUAAAGAUUUAUCGGUGUACGAUGGGGAUGCGUUCCAUUAGGUAGUAGGCGGGGUAACGGCCCACCUAGCCAACGAUGGAUAGGGGUUCUGAGAGGAAGGUCCCCCACAUUGGAACUGAGACACGGUCCAAACUCCUACGGGAGGCAGCAGUGAGGAAUAUUGGUCAAUGGACGAGAGUCUGAACCAGCCAAGUAGCGUGAAGGAUGAAGGUCCUACGGAUUGUAAACUUCUUUUAUAAGGGAAUAAACCCUCCCACGUGUGGGAGCUUGUAUGUACCUUAUGAAUAAGCAUCGGCUAACUCCGUGCCAGCAGCCGCGGUAAUACGGAGGAUGCGAGCGUUAUCCGGAUUUAUUGGGUUUAAAGGGAGCGCAGACGGGUCGUUAAGUCAGCUGUGAAAGUUUGGGGCUCAACCUUAAAAUUGCAGUUGAUACUGGCGUCCUUGAGUGCGGUUGAGGUGUGCGGAAUUCGUGGUGUAGCGGUGAAAUGCUUAGAUAUCACGAAGAACUCCGAUUGCGAAGGCAGCACACUAAUCCGUAACUGACGUUCAUGCUCGAAAGUGUGGGUAUCAAACAGGAUUAGAUACCCUGGUAGUCCACACGGUAAACGAUGGAUACUCGCUGUUGGCGAUAUACUGUCAGCGGCUUAGCGAAAGCGUUAAGUAUCCCACCUGGGGAGUACGCCGGCAACGGUGAAACUCAAAGGAAUUGACGG
rnacentral:rRNA from 1 species